rnacentral:lncRNA from 1 species
UUGAUUAUGAUCUAGUAUCUUUUUCAGUCAAUAAUGAUGCCUCAUAAUCUUUAUCUCAGCACACUAAAAAAUGACAGCUCAUCAGCAUAUUCUCUGCACAAAGUGAAAGCUGUUUCAAGGUGCUUUUCUUCAAGACAAAGGAAUGCAUUAAAGGAGUUGGUUGGCAGCUGUGAACAUUUCUUCAUUACCAAUGAGUGCAUUAAAAUAAUUGGUUAGAAGCUGUAAACACUUAAUUUCGAAAUUCCCUAUGCAUGAAGGGUUGUUUCAUGCACUAGUAUUUAUUUUGGUGUUUAGGACUUAGAAAGGACUUUAGAAACUGAUGAUAUCUGGGCAGAAGCUCUUAGAGAACCCCUUAAACUCUGGUAUCUCUUGGAUGCGUCCUUGAGUGGUGAGUCUUUUAUUUUCUAGUUCUGUAUCCUCAUUUAAUUUCCGUUGGGUGGUGAACUUUCUGUAUCCCAUUGCGAUUUUAAACUUGGUGGUGAGCUAUAUUUCGUUUUACCGAAGUUUCUUCAAGAGUUCGUUCAUUGCCUUCUGUGAUAUUUUCUAUCUGUACAACUGUUCUAUUGGUAUUCUUUCGAAAUCCAUUCUGCAUUUUUACCCUCCCCGGUAUCAG